rnacentral:rRNA from 1 species
GUAGCGGGGGAUAACUACGCGAAAGCGUAGCUAAUACCGCCUACUAUUGGAGCGGCCGAUAUCGGAUUAGCUAGUUGGUGGGGUAACGGCUCACCAAGGCGACGAUCCGUAGCUGGUUUGAGAGGACGACCAUCCACACUGGGACUGAGACACGGCCCAGACUCCUACGGGAGGCAGCAGUGGGGAAUUUUGGACAAUGGGGGAAACCCUGAUCCAGCCAUGCCGCGUGUGCGAUGAAGGCCUUCGGGUUGUAAAGCACUUUUGGCAGGAAGGCGGUACCUGCAGAAUAAGCACCGGCUAACUACGUGCCAGCAGCCGCGGUAAUAC